AUGAACUCUUAUAUGGCUCAGCUCUGGUGUGAUGGCCCAAUGCCUAGCACAGACCUAGUAGUGUGCCAGCAAUUUCUCUUGCUCUGGAGUGGUGGAGAGGAACACGUCACCAGCAGAGAACACUGUCAUAAAUUAUUAUCUGGGGAACUUCAGUUGUUUUGGUCUUACAUAGUUAUUAUCCAUGAUGUAUUAGUCACAUUUCAAAAUAAAUAUCUUAAGGUUCAAAAUUUGCUAUAAAUUAAGUCACAAUUACAUAUACUUAUGAAUAUAAAUAAUUUAUAAUAUAUAAAUAAAAAUCAUUUAUGAAUGAUGUAGAUAUCUCAUAUAGUCAAUAAAAAUAAGCCUUUAUAUAGAUACACUGAGACAAGCAAACCAAUUCUCUAGGGUUUUUUGGUUUUGUGUGAAGAAAAACAUUUUAUUCUAAUUAACUGAUGAACAAUAACAUCAGAAGAGCUUGUUUAUGGAGGCCCUGUAAACAUCUGCCCAGCCCCAAACUCUAUACCAACUCCGUGAACUAGACAGUAAGAAUACUCUUUUCCAUUGCAAUUCUGAAGGAAACUCUGAAUGAUUAAGAGGUUUAACUGGUAGUUUUACACAUUAAAACUUUCACUAUAAAUUAUAUUUUUAUGCCAAAUUAAUUGGUCAUGUGAGAUGAUUUUCCAUUUCUUCAUCUUGAACUUCUUGAUUAAGCUAAGGUAUUGGCUGACCAGCAGUUUCAGCACCUCUGCUGAAACCCUCACAACCCUGGUUCUGGGCACAUCUGCAACUGUUCCAUCUCAGAGUGGCAUGUGCUGCCACCACUGCUGCUGGUAGGCUGGCUGGGUUCUCUGAGGCUCCUGAUAAGUGAUAUCAGCCUUGAGGGCUCAACGUUACUUCCUCCACUCAAGUCCCCAGUGAUGGCUCGAAAUUCUAACUCUAACUUAAUCCUUAACUAUCCAUUUCUCAUUUCAUCGCCACUGGUUGAAAGCUCUAGUCUCCUCUCUCCACCAACUGUCUCAUUGUCUUGAAACCUUCAAUUUACUCCCUCCAUGAAAUAUACAAACUGCAUCCAUUCUGAAUGAUCUUUUUUUUUUAUUUUGAAUACAUUUAUUACAUUUUCACUGCAGGCUAGACUAGUUGUCUGGUAAUACAGAAUAAUAUUCAUUAAAUUUCUAAGUUGUCUAUGGGUCAAAAAAAUUUCCCUCCGCACCCCACAAAUUUUGGAAAAUUUCUUUAGGUUUUACUUGAUGAACCUAAGAAUUUUAAGGAUUAUUUAGAGAUAAUGACUUUGAAAGUAGAGAAGCAUUUUGGGGGGGUGGGGUAAUAUAGGGUAGUGGUGGAUUCUGUGGUAGCAGUUAUAGUCAAAAGCCUCUUUCUAUCUAGGACUAAUAGAAGAAAAUUUUGGUUUGUCUUAAUAAUAUGUUUAAGAAUAAAUACUCUGAAAAACUAAAAAAAAAGGUAUAAUUUUAAGAUGUUUAUCACAGUGUUCAUUAAUUUAACAAAUAUUUUCAAAAUACCAACCAUGUGUCUGAUAAUUUUCUAUGAUAAUGGGUACAUCAUAAACAUGACAGAAAAAAAUUCCCUGCCUUUAUAGAGCUUCAAUUUUCCCCUAGUACAGCUCAGGCUUUUAAGAAAUAUUAAAAAUUAUAAUCCAUUCUAAAAUUAUUUGUGUAAUUCCCCCCUCCCCAAAGAGUUCAUCAUUUCAUCUGACAUUACUGAACAAACAUAGCUUUCCCUCACUUAAUUGAAAUGCCUCAUUUCACAUAUAUAACUUCCAUGUACAUAAUCAGGUUUAUUUCUAGAUACUGUUUCAUUUAUUUCAUUGGUUUCUCUUAUUCUUCUCAUCUCUGAUUAUCAUUAAAAUGCUAGCAUCGCUCUUCUCUAAAGGCUGUCAUCAUUAUUACUCUUAUUACUACCUCAUAACAAAUCUCUAUUCCUCUAAAAUAAAAUAUAUUUUCCAGAAGACAAAGUAAAAUGUGAAUUUUCCUGAGAAUGUGUUUUAGAGGAAGGGAUGGUAUGGGCAAUGAUAGUUAAUAAUUGAUAUUGAAUGUUUCUCUUCUACCAAAAUUGCUUUCUUAUAGUUUUCUCUCUGGAUUCUGUCAAUUUUUCCUGGCCUCCAGACUUUGGGCUCCAGCCUUUAGCUUCUUCAAACAAUUUAUUCUUGGUCCUUCAUUCUACAUGUAAACUUAUUUAGUUCUGCCCCAGCUCUUUCAAAGCCAACAAUUAAUAUCCUCUAAGAAUGUGAUAAUUCUUUACAGUGAGAAUGAAUUUGUGCUUAGAAAACAGAUGUUCCAAUUAUCAAAACCCACUGAUUUAGAAAAGAUAGAGUAGAGGGUGAUAGUUGAUUAGUGAAAGGACCAUGAGUCAUAAAUAACAAAAACAUCUUUUUGUUGACUCUAAAUGCAAUUCAAAGAACAAAACAUUUUGCUGCUGCAUAGAAAACAUUGGCUAGGGAGUGCUUAUGAUAUGCUGGACACAUUAUGUGCCAGGCACAUUGUCAUCUCUAUUUUCCUGUUGAAGAUACUGAGUUCAGACACAUACACAAGUUGUUCAAAGUUAUAUUGCUAGUAUGUGGCACAGCUGACCUUUGAAUUCAUAUCUGAUCUGAAGCUUUUUAACAUAAUAAUGCUUUAUAUGUUUAUAUGUAUAUUCUGAUAUUUAAAAAAUCAGGUAACCACUCAUUAACCACUAGUGUGAAGUUGUAAUGUUUUUUCCUAUGUACUUAACUGCUGUC
rnacentral:lncRNA from 9 species